rnacentral:rRNA from 1 species
GAUGAACGCUGGCGGCGUGCCUAAUACAUGCAAGUCGAGCGAACGGACGAGAAGCUUGCUUCUCUGAUGUUAGCGGCGGACGGGUGAGUAACACGUGGAUAACCUACCUAUAAGACUGGGAUAACUUCGGGAAACCGGAGCUAAUACCGGAUGAUAUUUUGAACCGCAUGGUUCAAAAGUGAAAGACGGUCUUGCUGUCACUUAUAGAUGGAUCCGCGCUGCAUUAGCUAGUUGGUAAGGUAACGGCUUACCAAGGCAACGAUGCAUAGCCGACCUGAGAGGGUGAUCGGCCACACUGGAACUGAGACACGGUCCAGACUCCUACGGGAGGCAGCAGUAGGGAAUCUUCCGCACUGGGCGAAAGCCUGCCGGAGCAACGCCGCGUGAGUGAUGAAGGUCUUCGUAUCGUAAAACUCUGUUAUUAGGGAAGAACAUAUGUGUAAGUAACUGUGCACAUCUUGACGGUACCUAAUCAGAAAGCCACGGCUAACUACGUG